UGGCGGACGGGUGAGUAAUGUCUGGGAAACUGCCCGAUGGAGGGGGAUAACUACUGGAAACGGUAGCUAAUACCGCAUAACGUCGCAAGACCAAGGAGGGGGACCUUCGGGCCUCUUGCCAUCGGAUGUGCCCAGAUGGGAUUAGCUAGUAGGUAAGGUAACGGCUUACCUAGGCGACGAUCCCUAGCUGGUCUGAGAGGAUGAUCAGCCACACUGGGACUGAGACACGGCCCAG
rnacentral:rRNA from 1 species